UACAGAGGUCUCAACCGUUGUUCGGAUUCAUUGGGCGUAAAGGGCGCGUAGGCGGCCACCGCAAGUCGACUGUGAAAUCUCCGGGCUUAACCCGGAAAGGUCAGCCGAUACUGCGGGGCUAGAGUGCAGAAGGGGCAACUGGAAUUCUCGGUGUAGCGGUGAAAUGCGUAGAUAUCGAGAGGAACACCUGCGGCGAAGGCGGGUUGCUGGGCUGACACUGACGCUGAUGCGCGAAAGCUAGGGGAGCGAACGGG
rnacentral:rRNA from 1 species